rnacentral:rRNA from 1 species
CCUACGGGGGACAGCAGUGAGGAAUAUUGGUCAAUGGGCGCGAGCCUGAACCAGCCAAGUAGCGUGAAGGAUGACUGCCCUACGGGUUGUAAACUUCUUUUAUAAAGGACUAAAGUGAGGCACGUUUGCCUUUUUGUAUGUACUUUAUGAAUAAGGAUCGGCUAACUCGGGGCCAGCAGCCGCGGUAAUACGGAGGAUCCGAGCUUUAUCCGGAUUUUUUGGGUUUAAGGGGAGGGUGGAUGGGUUGUUAAGUCAGUUGUGAAAGUUUGCGGUCAAACCGGAAAAGUGCAAUUGAUACUGGCAGUCUUGAGUACAGAUGAGGUAGGCGGAAUGCGUGGUGUAGCGGUGAAAUGCUUAGAUAUCACGAAGAACUCCGAUUGCGAAGGCAGCUUACUAAACUGCCACUGACAUUGAUGCUCGAAAGUGUGGGUAUCAAACAGGAUUAGAUACCCUUGUAGUC